AUUGAACGCUGGCGGCAUGCUUUACACAUGCAAGUCGAACGGCAGCACGGGGGCAACCCUGGUGGCGAGUGGCGAACGGGUGAGUAACGCAUCGGAACGUGCCCAGUAGUGGGGGAUAACACAUCGAAAGAUGUGCUAAUACCGCAUACGCACUGAGGUGGAAAGCGGGGGAUCGCAAGACCUCGCGCUAUUGGAGCGGCCGAUGUCCGAUUAGCUAGUUGGUAGGGUAAAGGCCUACCAAGGCGACGAUCGGUAGCUGGUCUGAGAGGAUGAUCAGCCACACUGGGACUGAGACACGGCCCAGACUCCUACGGGAGGCAGCAGUGGGGAAUUUUGGACAAUGGGCGCAAGCCUGAUCCAGCCAUGCCGCGU
rnacentral:rRNA from 1 species